rnacentral:other from 1 species
ACAAUCCUGCUGUGUACGUAGACUCGAUCACGUUUUGAGCCAACAUCACUUAUACGGGAAUCUGGGUUUAUUGAUGGAAGAAAAGCCUCCUACAGAGAGGACUUCGGAACUCAGUAACAGGAUACCCACCUGCUGAGGCAGGUUUCAAAACAAUCGAUAAACGGCAUGGCGGGUCACUG